rnacentral:lncRNA from 1 species
AUGUUUGCUGUAGUGUAGAUGAUUCACACACCAACAUGCAAUGCUUUAAUCUGAGGCUGUAAUCAGAUAAUUUGUAGGUCAACUUCCGCGGUAAACAAUGUCAAUGGGGAUACAUGAGAUUGGGGAGAGAAACGGCAGUUUUCAUUGUUUCUGUAAAGUUCUGUUUUUAGAAUCUUCCUCCAAUUCAGGAGCACCUCAAUUGAUGAGUAAUUAUACACUAAAAUCAAAGUAAAUGUUUCUGAACACUUAAAAUGUGACAUUUAGUAUAUGAUAAGUAGUCUUCUAUAUAAAAAAAAUUUUGUGUACCAACAUAAUUAUUGAAAUGGUUAAAAAAAAAUAAAAAAAAUAAAAUGUUGCUUUUUGUAGUUUAUAC